GGGAGUUUCUAUUCAUCCUGAAGACCUCAAUUAGCAGUGUUUGAUUUGGCUCUGCAGGAUUGGACAGUCCUGAACUAGAGGAAAAAGCAACAGGAGCAGAAAGAAGAACUCCGCCUCCAAGAGAAAUAUCAACUGCAUGAUAUCAGACUCCUCCAAGUGUCCUGUGUCUCUUUCCCAUGUCUGCUGUGCGUGGCAGGCUCGCUUCUCUCUCGUUUCAGAAGGUAAGUGUGAAGCUUUAGCUGACAUGGUGUGCUUUCUAUUCAGUGUAAGCCGUUGGUGUGUUCACACCAGUGGUGUAGUUCUGACUCGUAGAUGGACCUACUGUGCAUUUAUCAAGAGCACACAACUCACUGGUAGAGGCUUCUGCUUCAGAUACACGAAAUUCCUUUAAAAACUCCUGGAAAAAGACUCACUCGAGGCUGCUGCAGUGCCUCCAGCGUUAGCCAAGACGUGCCUACUAUAUACUACCACCGAUUAAUGGCUGAAGAGUUAGUAGGUGUGAGAGAAGCUGGCCUGUUAAACAACUUACUAUGAUGACACCCUCACAGUCUCAUUCACACCACACUAAUAAACCAAACGAAAGCAGUGUUCAUUAAAGCUAAAGGGAUAUUGUGCUUAAAACAUAAUUCAAGUAGGGUGCAAAAAUAACUACUUAACGAGGAAAAAUACUCUAAAGUUGAAGCUAUGCAACGAGAGGUACACAAAGGUUAAAUAACUGAGGAUAGGUUUGUAAGUGUGUGUGAGUUCAUCUCAUUUUCACAUCAUGAACUGAGCCGUUUAACUUCAGACAUACAGCAGCAACUAUAAUCCGCUGCUGACACUAGGAACUGCUAGAGGUCAGUGAAACAUCUCAAGCAUCCUGACUGAGACCUGUCUCUUUAUUCAUAGCGCUUUGUUUCCUGAUUCUCAGAAGCAGAAAGGAGCGAAUCCCACACAAACACAGAAAGCUGGAUUUAGGCCAGAUCUGCUUGGCACGAUGCAGGAUUCUGGAGCCUAUAUAGACUCUGUGAGUCAUUCCACGAGAAUCAGCUUAAUGUGGGAUCUGAUGCACUGAAGAGAUGAUUUUCUGAGCAUUCAUGAUGCUGAAGUAUUUGUCCUUGGAUUUGCAUAACAAUGUAACUCGGUAGCACAUGGGGAGCAUCAUUUAGUUUGCAUCCUGCAGUAUGGAUACUGUCAGACGAUGUCCCGAAUAAAGAAUAAAGUGAGUGACGUGACAUACUCAGAAUUCGUGCUCUGCAUUUAACCCA
ensembl:lncRNA